GCACGCCGUAUGCGUUUAAAGGCGCAUGUACGGUGUAGAGUGGGGGAAAAUCUAGAGAUAAGAUCAAAGGAUUACCUAUCACUAU
rnacentral:ncRNA from 1 species